UACGGAGGGUGCAAGCGUUGUCCGGAUUUAUUGGUUUAAAGGGUGCGUAGGCGGCCCUGUAAGUCAGUGGUGAAAAUACUGCAGCUUAACUGUAGCAUUGCCAUUGAUACUGCAGGGCUUGAGUACAGAUGAGGUAGGCGGAAUUGAUGGUGUAGCGGUGAAAAUGCAUAGAUACCAUCAAGAACACCGAUUGCGAAGGCAGCUUACGUAAGCUGACUGAAUCAGACCGCUGGAA
rnacentral:rRNA from 1 species